GUGGGUUCUCUUCAGAUGCUUCCACCGUAAAGAUUGUUAUGGAUAUGCUAUCGAGUGGUGAAUUGGACAAAAGCUUUUUGGAUAUGCUUUCUGGUCCUUCUGGAGACAGAUCAUCAUCGUUGGAUUGAAUCACCAAGAUUCUGACUCUGGUUGCUCCUCUUCCCUCAGUGUCUGGUGGGUUACAAAUUGCAGUCUCCCUGCUCUCUGCUGUUGCUGUGUGUUGGAGGAGGAAUGCUGCUUCUGAGAAGGCCCUUCCUUCUCUCUGGAUCUCGUAUGCUUAUAACUUCUCCUUGUCUUAGAUACUCUUAGAGGUUGAUUGUUUCCAGCUUUUGAAUUAGUUUUUGGCUUUUGUUUUUGAAAAAUUUAUUUUUUUAGACAAUCAAGUUUUUAAGAAAAUAGAUUCCCUAAAAUCUAGGAAAACUAGUUUUUUCAAGUAACUGUAUUUUUCAAAGAAAAACUAAAAUCUAAGUUUUUGUGGUUUCUGUAAAAUCCAACGACAGUUUUCCAUUUUUUUUAAUUUAAACUUUUGCUAUAUUUAUGCAUUAACACAUGAAAAUAAAUAAAAACAAUAACUACUAUAAACAAUCAGCUCUAGUACAAGUUUUUGUUUAAUAGUAUAUUACUAAAAUAAUUUCUAUUUAUAACAUUUUAAAAACUUCUCAAUAAAAUAAAAUUAGUUAUUUAAAUUUAUUUUUAUGUAAAGUUUAUAUGUUUUGUUGAUAAUCUAUUUUUCUUUGAAAAAAACAAGAUCUAAAUUCUCUUGGUUUUCCCUAUGACUAAAAAUGUUUUUCUUUUUUAAAAAAAAAUCAAUAAUUUUAGUUAUAUCUUUGUGACAUAAAUGUUAUAGAAAAUUAAUUAAUUUUUUUAAGUCUGUAUAUUGUAAAUCUGUUACACUUUAAUUUAUUUUUGUAUUUUGUAUUUAAAAUCUACUGCAAAAUCAAAAACCAAAAAUCAAAAACCAAAAUCUAAAAUCUAAAAACCAAAAGCCAAAAACUAAAAACCAGAAUCCAAAAACUUGUAAAACAAUCAUCACCUUAAUGUUUCAUUGUCUGUUAAUGAAUACUAGCCUUUGAUCCGCGCGCCCACGCGGGUUUCAAGUUUUUUAUAAAAUAAAUAUUUUAUAUAUUUUUAAUACUCACUAUAUUACAUAUUUUUUAUAUGAUAUGUAUACGCAUAACAUUUUUAUUGUUUAUACAUUGUAAUUUUAUCUCAUUUUAAUCAUUUAGAUGA